CUCACACUGCCCAGCUAAUGAAAAUGAAAUGUGUGCCUUGGAGGUACCGCACUGGAUAAGUUGCUCCAAGACCCAGCUGUGACCACUUUGCAGCACUCAUCACACUGCAAGCAGUGACUUCAGGGGCACCACUUGUGUUUAAGAUAUUCAGACGUCACUCCGUGUUUCUCUUCUCCCUCCAC
rnacentral:lncRNA from 1 species